CACGUAGGCACCAAGCGUUGUCCGGAUUUAUUGGGCGUAAAGCGCGUGUAGGCGGCCAGGUAGGUCGGUUGUGAAAAUUGGAGGCUCAACCUCCAGACGUCGAUCGAAACCAUCUGGCUAGAGUCCGGAAGAGGAAGAUGGAAUUCCUGGUGUAGCGGUGAAAUGCGCAGAUAUCAGGAAGAACACCAAUGGCGAAAGCAGCGUUCUGGACGGUACUGACGCUGAGACGCGAAAGCGUGGGAGCGAACAGG
rnacentral:rRNA from 1 species